rnacentral:misc_RNA from 1 species
AAGUCGUAACAAGGUUUCCAGGUGAACCUGCGAAAGGAUCAUUAACACGUAUCCAAACGGGUAAAAAAACCGAACAACUGUUAACAAUGGAUAUCUUGGUUCCU